CCCAGGCUUCCAUCUCGAUCCCAAGGUUUGAUGCGACACCGGGCGUGUUUGCCUGUUGGCAGCUUCCCCGUCACGUGCACUAGGCCCCCUGGGAGGUGGGUGGCCCUGCCUGCCGCCCCCGAUUGAAGGGCCCAUUCCCCGGGGACUUGGAGCUGUGAGCGCCGCUUGCCUGGCUCGGGAGGGCAGGAGCUGCUGACGUCCCCACGUCUCAGAUGAGGACCCCGAGGCUCGGGUGGCGAGGAGGGAACCCGGGGAAGCUGCCCAGGCCUGUCUGCUUCCAGGUCCCACCCCGGGCCCAUAAGGCCAGGCCCAGCCCGUGUCGGGACAGCAGCCCAGAGUUGUGCAGCCAUCAUGUGCCCGUCAGUCUGAAACCUGGUGCCGUACCCACUGCUCCGCACCCCCUCCUCGGCCGGAGGCAGCCACCGAGCCACUUGUUGUCUUAGGAGUUGCUUACUCUGGACAGCUCGUGGAAGCAAAGCUGCAGCAUGCGACCUCUUACGUCUGCCUUCUUUCCCUCAGCAUGAUUUCCAGAUUCAUCCGUGUCGUAGCUCUGUCAGCGCGUUGUUCCUUUUAAUGGUUGAAUAAUAUUCCUUUGUACAGAUUUUAUUUCUUUACUCAUCGUGUGUUAGACAUUUGUGUUGCUUCUACUUUUUGGCCACUUUGAAUAAAGCUGCUAUGGACAUGUGUGUAUGAAUUUUCCUGUGGUUGCAUGUUUUCAUUUCUCUUGGACAUGCACCCAUGAGUGG
rnacentral:lncRNA from 1 species